GCAACAGACUUGGAAGAAAGCACCUGGCGUCCUUCUGCUGUGCCAAAUAAAAAGGAGACCUGCGCAACAGCAACGGGUGUGCUGCCAGCCAUGUCCCUCCCGCGCCUGCCUGCCUCUUCCUCCCUUGGCCCCUGCCUCGCCCUCUACAAGCUGGCAGGAGCUGCUGUAACUCGUUUAAUUCAGGAAGUCGGCCUCAAACCAUAAGCCGUGCCCCCUGUGAUCCCCUUUGUGGCGCUGCGCCCCGAAACCCUCGCCACAUGCUUUCUGCUGUGCCCGUCCCUCUGAGGAAACCGGGGCAGUUUCUCCCCUCAGCGGCUCAACAGCCUUCCCCCUGGGCUGAAAAAUGCACAAAAUCACAUAUACUCACUGUUUUUGGGUGGGCGGCGGGCUGAGGUGAGUCCUCCAGGGGCUCCUGGCAGGCAGUGGUGCCUCCUCAGCCUGUUACCUCACGGGGGUGAAGGGCAAAAUGGCGCCUGGCUGCUGCUGCCUUUCUAAAAUGGUGCCUCACUUUUCCCGCCUUUUUCUGAGGCGAAGAGAAAGCUCGCAGAAAGCCGCGGUGGCAUUCAAAACCCCCUUUGGUGCUUCCCUUUUCCACAUAGCGUCCUUUCUAAGCUUGCUUUUUUUUUUUUCUCCCCCCCCCUCAAUUUUAUUUUUAUUUUAGCCCAGCAAAACACCUUGAGAAACAUUUUGGCGUAAACGGGCUGCUUUGCGAAUGUGAGUACCUCGUGAGUCUUGCCAGGCUUUUUGCGUUUUGCCUCUAACGUUUCCUUCAGCCCUAGGAAAAACCCGAAGGGGAAAAAGCGCUACCAGCUCCUCCCGUUUUGUCCGAAGGAUACCGGUCGCAGAGCAUCCGAUGGGCAUGUGCUUGAUCGCCAGUGCCAGUUCCCAGCCACUUCCUCUAAAUGGCGAUGUAGCAUUUUCGAGAGGACAGCACAUCUCACCCAGCAAAAGGGAGUCCGGCCCAAUCUGUUUUUGCUGACUGCAAGCUGGCAGCAAUGCUCCAGCAUUCGGCAAGUUGACCAGAGAACCUUCUGCAAAGUACCUGGAUUAAAUAGACUCAAGCAGGAGAAUUUUACCACAAGUCCAUCUGGCAAAGGUUAGAGCGAGGAUGAGACCGCUGGAGGUGUUUUACCACUGACCCCAGCAGAGCUCUCGCUGCUCUAUGAGAAGUGCAGACUUCAUCUUUACAAAGUGCUGGUAGUCCUGGAGCUGCUCCUCGG